UGCAAGUCGAGCGAAGCUUUUCAGUAGUUUACUACAGAAAAUGACUGAGCGGCGAACGGGUGAGUAACGCGUGAGCAAUCUACCUUAGUUACAGGGAUAGCCCGAGGAAACUCGGAUUAAUACCUGAUAUUCUUUACAUUUCGCAUGAAAUUAAAAGGAAAGGUCAGCCGAACUAAGAUGAGCUCGCGUUCUAUCAGCUAGUUGGUGAGGUAAAAGCUCACCAAGGCUACGACGGAUAGCUGGUCUGAGAGGACGAUCAGCCACACUGGGACUGAGACACGGCCCAGACUCCUACGGGAGGCUGCAGCAGGGAAUAUUGUGCAAUGAACGAAAGUUUGACACAGCGACACCGCGUGUGGGAUGACGGAUCUAGGUUUGUAAACCACUUUCAGGAGGGAAGAAAAUGACGGUACCUCCACAAGAAGCCCCGGCCAACUACGUGCCAGCAGCCGCGGUAAUACGUAGGGGGCGAGCGUUGUCCGGAUUUAUUGGGCGUAAAGAGCUCGUAGGCGGUUCAACAAGUCGGUCGUAAAAGUUCAGGGCUCAACCCUGAAAUGUCGAUCGAUACUGUUGUGACUAGGAUACGGUAGAGGUGAGUGGAAUUCCGAGUGUAGCGGUGAAAUGCGUAGAUAUUCGGAGGAACACCAAUUGCGAAGGCAGCUCACUGGGCCGCUAUCGACGCUGAGGAGCGAAAGCUAGGGGAGCAAACAGGAUUAGAUACCCUGGUAGUCCUAGCUGUAAACGAUGGAUACUAGACGUAGGAACUGGAUUGACGGUUUCUGUGUCGUAGCUAACGCGUUAAGUAUCCCGCCUGGGGAGUACGGUCGCAAGACUAAAACUCAAAGGAAUUGACGGGACCCGCACAAGCGGCGGAGCAUGCGGCUUAUUCGAUGAUACCGUAGAUCUUACCUGACUUGACAUAUAGGUCAGCUAUAGAGAUAUAGUGUGCAUUAGCG
rnacentral:rRNA from 1 species